rnacentral:misc_RNA from 1 species
AGGUACAUCUUUUCUCUGUAAAUUUGGGUUGUAAAUGAAAUGAUUAGUUUAUUAAAAAUUAUAAUAUUUGUUUUAAAAAAAAUAAUAUACUCAGUAAUUUUUGUUCUUUUUAAUUAUUUGUGAUCAAACAUGCAAUUUGUAUGUAUUAUAUUGUAGAGAAGCUUCAAAUUUAGGUUUGAAAAUGUUUGCUAAUUGUUUACAUGCAUGAACAAGCUUGAACUAGCCGAUAGCCCCAUACCAAGCUGAGUGAAUGGCUUGGUUCAUUUGCAGCCCUGUCUAAAGUAGUUUGAUAUUUGAUUGGCUAAUUGAUUCCAGAUUCUUUUGAGGUUUGUUUUCAUAGCCUAUAACAUGCAACUUUGAGGUAUGAUUAUUGAUGGCAAUUUUGCUUUUGUAAAUGGUGCACAAUAGAUUGCAUAUCAUUUUCCAUAGUUCCAAGUCUUCAGUCUUUAGUAUACAGUUUUAUUAUUCUUGUAUUUUAGACAGUUUCCUUAAUGUUGCCUUGCUUGCCUUAAGUAGCAUUGGAAUUAAGCAGCACUUAACUAUGUGGUUGUUAGAGAGUAGUCAAGUCGUGUGGUUUCCAGGUAAAUAUCAGUUUUAGUCUCUUAAAUGGCAUUCUUUUUCUUGUGAAUUUGGCCUAAACCACAGUAAAUAUUCUGGAGAAGAGAUACUCUGCUUCACCCUUUGUAGUAGGCUGAGCUUCAUAACUCUUGAAGCUGGAAAGAUAAAGUCAUCAUUAUUGUUGCUAUCAUGUUAGCAUUUCUAGUUUAUUUGUGUAUAUAUCAGUUUGGUUAGUUUGAUUAACCAUAGCCAAUGGUGUCAAAGAGAAGAGUGCAAAUGAUCUGAGGUCAAGUGCCUUCUUCACCUGCAUUCCUUUUAGAUGGGUUUGUUCUGUCAUGUCUAUUUAGGUAUAUGCAUUUAGCGAGUGUCUCUGUUUGUAAGGCAAAACUUUAAUAUAAUUUGCUCGAUUCAUAUUAUUAAGCUACUUUUACUUGUAUUAAAAAAUUUGGAGCCAAUAAUACAAACAGAUGUUCUUCAAGUCUUCCAAAUGCAUUGUUCCACAUAACAUAUGUCCAAACUAAUACACUUCUUUUCCUGUGACAGAGAAAGUACUCCAUCAGAUAAGGUUAAGGAAGCUCAUCGGAGGGUGAUGGUUGCAAACCAUCCAGAUGCUGGUGGUAGCCAUUACCUUGCUUCUAAAAUAAAUGAAGCCAAAGAUAUGUUGCUUGGAAAAGCUAAGGGCAGUGGCUCUGCAUUUUAAUGUCAUUGACUGUGUUCCAUCUCACCAAGGCCAAUUUGUUGCAGCAAAGGAGUCAGAUUACACUAAUACUGCAAAUGCUCAAACCAAAUUCUUGAAAAGAAACAUUACAAUUAGAAAUUCAGGGUCUUUGUUCAAUUGAUUGUUUGAAUCCAUAGAUGUAACAGUAACUGAGUAACACCAAUUGGAAGGUCUAAUGUUAUUUCUUUUACAGUGUGUAAACUAAAGAGGGUUGGUUCCUUCCUGAUUAUAAUUUACCUUUUCCUCCCUUCACUA